rnacentral:lncRNA from 1 species
CUCAAAACCAAUUGGCAAUGAGUGGAUUGGCCCUAAUCCCUUAUAUAUUACUGAAGUCCCCUCACAUCUUCCGAUGUGGGAUCUUUUCUCCACACGCCCCCUCGAGAUAAUGGCUCUUUUAGCCAUUAAUCUCGACAGAAUCCAUCACGCCCCCUCGAGAUAAUGCUCUUCUAGCUAUCUCAAUGGAAUUGGGCCUUCUUUUGGGCCAUCAAUUAAUGGGGUGAUCAGGCCUCUUUCCGGGCCGGAUUAAUUAAUGGGUCAGCGUGUGUUCGGGCUCUGAUACCAUGUUAAAUUAGGAUUUGUUAUGGGGUUCCAACUCAA